ACAAGAGCAGGCAUAGGAGCCAUGGCUGGGAGAAGCACAGCGCAGGGCCUCUCCCAACCAUGGCUCCUGUGCCUGCCCUUGC